rnacentral:rRNA from 1 species
GUACACGCUGUGACUAGCAUAUCAAUAAGCGGAGGAAAAGAAACUAACAAGGAUUCCCCUAGUAACGGCGAGUGAAGCGGGAAGAGCUCAAAUUUGAAAUCUUAAAGGGUUUCCCUUUACGAAUUGUAGUUUAAAGAAGUGUUUUCUGUUGAGGUUUUGGUAAAAGUUCUUUGGAAUAGGACAUCAUAGAGGGUGAGAAUCCCGUAUUUGACCUUUACUUUCAACUUUGUGAUACACUUUCAAAGAGUCGGAUUGUUUGGGAAUGCAGUCCAAAAUGGGUGGUAAAUUUCAUCUAAAGCUAAAUAUUGGCGAGAGACCGAUAGCGAACAAGUACCGUGAGGGAAAGAUGAAAAGAACUUUGAAAAGAGAGUUAAACAGUACGUGAAAUUGUCAAAAGGGAAGCGUUUGACACCAGUGUUGUUUUUCUGAAAAUCAAUUAAAGAACUGUUUAUGCUAAGCUGUUUAGACUUUAUCAGCUAUCUGUUUAGUCUUGAGCUUUUCUUUAAUGCACUUUUCAGUUAACAAGUCAACAUCAAUUUCUUUUGCUGUAAAAAAGCUUGAGGAAGGUGGCUUGAGAUUCGUCUUAAGUGUUUAUAGCCUCUUGCCUAUGCAGUCGGAGAGAUUGAGGUCUGCAGCGUAGAUCCUUCGGGGCUAAAUGCAUUUGUGCUAAGUUAUAGCAUUUUAUAGACAACUUGUUGACUAUGAUUUGUCUUGUAGCUUACUCGCUUAUGUUAUUUUACCUACGCUUAGGAUGUUGAAGAUGUAGCACAUCAU